AUGCAGGAGGGGCACCCACUGGCGUUCCUCAGCAAGGCGUUGGGUCCCAGAAACCGAGGUCUUUCCACUUAUGAGAAGGAAUUCAUGGCUAUCCUCAUGGCAGUGGAAAAGUGGCGCUCUUACCUGCAAAGCUCAGAGUUCAUCAUCCGCACCGAUCAAAGCGCUUUGGCUCAUAUCAAUGAUCAGCGGCUGGUUACUCCGUGGCAAAGACGGGCUUAUACUAAGCUAAUGGGGCUGCAAUACAAAGUGGUGUACCGCAAAGGCGUGGAGAACAAGGCGGCUGACACCCUAUCCCGUCGGGAGGCUGAGAUCAUAGCUAUCACGGUUGCUACCCCGGUGUGGUUAGAGGAGGUGGUGCAAGGAUACCAAAACAACGACAAGGCCAAAGCAAUUCUGCAGCAACAAAGUGUGGACGGCGAUCCCUCGUUUGACUACAGGGUCAAAGAUGGAGUCAUCAUGUACAAAGGACGAGUAUGGGUAGGAGGGAACUCUGCCAUGCACCAAAAGAUUCUGCAAGCCACCCAUUCGAGCGCAACAGGGGGUUACUCUGGGAUUCACGCAACGCACAAACGCCUGAGGAGAUUGUUCGCGUGGCCAGGGAUGCGGCAAGACGUGGUCACGUUCGUAUCCAACUGCAGUACGUGCAAGAAAGCCAAGACAGAGCGGGUGCGAACCCCAGGGUUAUUGGAGCCACUGCCAAUUCCUCCACAUGCUUGGCACACCGUCACACUUGAUUUCGUGGAAGGCUGCCUUUAUCCCGAGGAUACUCCUGCAUCAUGGUAG
rnacentral:rRNA from 1 species